AGCAGCCGCGGUAAUUCCAGCUCUAAUAGCGUAUAUUAAUAUUGUUGCAGUUAAAAAGCUCGUAGUUGAAAUUUGGGACUUUAUUGUAUUGGUUUAUCUUUUGAUGAACUGUAUGAUGGGUUUCUUCCUACUAGAGUUCGAUUCUGUUCUUAACUGAAUGGAGUAGCUAUCUUUCGGGGUGGUCAAUUGGUUGUUAUAUCUCCACUAAUGAGCAGAGAGGGGUUAAACCUUCAAAGUGAGUUAUGUGGGUCAAGGUAUAAUGAUUAAUUGGAGUUCUAGUUCAUUUACUUUGAGAAAAUUAGAGUGUUUAAAGCAGCCUCUUGGGGCACUGAAUACAUUAGCAUGGGAUAAUAAAAUAGGAUCUUCACAAUAUAUUUUAUUGGUUUAAAUUGCGUAUGAAGAUAAUGAUUAAUAGGGACAGUUGGGGGUAGUUCAUAUUGGGUGGUUAGCGGUGAAAUGCUCGGAUCCAUUCAAGAUGAACUAAAGCGAAAGCAUUUACCAAGGAUGUUUUCAUUAAUCAAGAACGAAAGUUAAGGGA
rnacentral:rRNA from 1 species